CAGAAUGGAGGGCAAUGCAAAGUCUUAAUAUGGGUAGAAAUACAAACGCGAGUGUGUAUGUGCUUGAACAAGAUGUUAUUUGUUUUAGUUGGAACUAUAUAGAUCAACUGAAUUGAACAAAUGCCAAUUUCCACCUUGUGUGUUCCUUAGAAAUACUGGAACCGUUGAAACAGAGAAUCGUGGGAAUACCAUCCGAGUGGAAUUGUGGGAUUCCAUGGAAAAGAAAGCGAUAGUUAUGUUCCUAUACGUUUUCUGUUACUCUGCAACAAGAUUGCACCUGCCUGUGUCGUUCUACGUGAUUCAUAAAGGGGAUUAUAACGCACUUGCUCAUGUGAAACUUGUUUAUUGCGCCUGUAUCUUUUUCUUUCUUCUGCACACUGCGUUGUUGGCCGUAAAUUCUGAUUCAGCUCGACUAUUGACAACAGCAACUUGAAAAAGCCUCCGGCUCGUCAUCCGUCUUUCCCAAGUAGCUCAUCUCCACCCGUUGGAGAUCAUUGCCCCUCCAGGCGGCCGUUGCAGGCAGAAGCUUGAGCGUUGCCACACCAUUGCUCUUUAUUGGGUUUUCAGGAAUGAGGAAGUAUGAGAGGCAGUGUCUUUACGGGAAGCCAGCCAGGCUGGGAGGGAGGGGCGAGUGGGAAUGCACGUGGGCAGAGAGGUUAUGACAAAUAUUUGUUAUGACACACAGGAAGAGAAAACAAAGGAAAAAAGAAAAAAAAAGAAACUGUGCAAAAGGUGGAAAGAUUUAAUUACAUUUGAGCCGGGCUAAUCACAUUUCUCAUCUUGCUCACCGUGCCGUUGGUCUACCCACCCAGCCUUUUCAUCACCGCCAUCAUCAUCAUUGUCGCUGUUGCUACUUGCAAGCUCUUGGCAAGGCAAUAACAACUGCUUAUUGUGAAAGUAAUUCUAUUUGGCAAAAGCCUGGAACUGUACAGAGAAGGAAUUACUGUAGCUGGAGGCAAUAAUACACCGUGUUCCGUUUCACAAUGCCAUCAAAAGAAAACACGUUCCACUUUUUUGGCAGAACCGACAAAUACUACCACAUGGAGAACAAACACACAGUUUACCCUUCCUGGAGCAAAUUAUUGAUCCAGACUGCAUGUUCUCCUCCCCUUUGUAGUCACUACACCGACACUUUUUUUUCCCCCUUCAAAUCCAGAUCCUCUUCUGGCUGGGACUGUUUGUCCUGGGAUGACAGGGAGUGGGAGCAUGCUAGUGUCCCUUGGCUAACAGGUCUUGGCAGAAGCCGGCGCGGUGUGCAGCGCGGUGAGUCAGGUUGGGAGGAAUGCGGCACUCCCACAACAUCCAGCAAGGUUCUCACAUAGGGACGGACGCUGGAAGAGGGGCUGACCUUCACAAGAUUCCUCUUCCUAAUCCCAUCUGGUUUAACGCCUAAAUCCUGACUGGGUUCCAAAAAAGGUCCUCCCUGCUGACCCAGUCUGGCCAUUUUCCCCAGGCUUGCAGGAGUGACACGACCACGGAAGGCCACGGAACCGUGGGAUCCACUUUGACUGUUGAGAGAGCGCUGAGGUGGGGCAGAAAGCUGCCCUGCCUCGCCCUCCCUCUCCCAUUACACAGCUGAGUCAUUCACAAAAAUGUGAAAACAAAGUCAACAACAGAACGGCCCUCCUGGGACUGUAAGCUGAGUAAGAAUGACAGAUGGAUUUACUCACACAUGAAAACACAGGAAAGCAUUCCCAUUCAGUGAAGCAAAGCGGCUCAUAAAGAAAAGGAACGUGGGCAGGAACGUGGGCAGGAACGUGGGUCAGCGCAGAAGCUGUGGUCGACGCCCCCAUGAGGUGUUCAACAACAUUCAGCAAUGGAGAACCUCAUCGCUGAGUGUCAGCUUUUAUUCUGUUGUGAAUACAGACAACAAUUAAAUUUGUACCAUUAGCUUCUCUCAAAAUAGGGAAAGUUGGAUAUAGACACUAUGCAGUAUCUUUUAUGAACACUUUCUGUUUCUUGAAAGGUGCUGGUCUGAACUAACACAUAACUUUGGGGGGGAAAAAAACUUUUUCCUUACUUGUUUGCACAUAUGAUUCAAAUGGAACAGAGACAGAAAACUGCAAAAAUUAUUAUGUAGCUGUGUGAAUGUGUGUUUAUUUCUUCAAAGAAAUGUUUAAUUGUUGAUCAGUUCUUACAUUCCAUUUCUUUUUUGUGUUUUCCCAAAUAGAAAACCUGUAAUAAAUGUCGAUCUUUGUUUUAAAGAA